rnacentral:rRNA from 1 species
GACGUACGCUGGCGGCGUGCUUAACACAUGCAAGUCGAACGGAAAGGCCCUGCUUUUGUGGGGUGCUCGAGUGGCGAACGGGUGAGUAACACGUGAGUAACCUGCCCUUGACUUUGGGAUAACUUCGGGAAACUGGGGCUAAUACCGGAUAGGAGCUCCUGCUGCAUGGUGGGGGUUGGAAAGUUUCGGCGGUUGGGGAUGGACUCGCGGCUUAUCAGCUUGUUGGUGGGGUAGUGGCUUACCAAGGCUUUGACGGGUAGCCGGCCUGAGAGGGUGACCGGCCACGUUGGGACUGAGAUGCGGCCCAGACUCCUACGGGAGGCAGCAGUGGGGAAUGGUGCACAAUGGGCGGAAGCCUGAUGCAGCAACGCCGCGUGCGGGAUGACGGGCUUCGGGUUGUAAACCGCUUUCGCCUGUGACGAAGCGUGAGUGACGGUAAUGGGUAAAGAAGCACCGGCUAACUACGUG